UACGUAUGGAGCAAGCGUUAUCCGGAUUUACUGGGUGUAAAGGGAGCGUAGACGGCUUUGCAAGCCAGAUGUGAAAGCCCGGGGCUCAACCCCGGGACUGCAUUUGGAACUGUAUGGCUGGAGUGUCGGAGAGGCAGGCGGAAUUCCUAGUGUAGCGGUGAAAUGCGUAGAUAUUAGGAGGAACACCAGUGGCGAAGGCGGCCUGCUGGACGAUGACUGACGUUGAGGCUCGAAAGCGUGGGGAGCAAACGGG
rnacentral:rRNA from 1 species